GACGAACGCUGGCGGCGUGCUUAACACAUGCAAGUCGAACGGAAAGGCCCUGCUUUUGUGGGGUGCUCGAGUGGCGAACGGGUGAGUAACACGUGAGUAACCUGCCCUUGACUUUGGGAUAACUUCAGGAAACUGGGGCUAAUACCGGAUAGGAGCUCCUGCUGCAUGGUGGGGGUUGGAAAGUUUCGGCGGUUGGGGAUGGACUCGCGGCUUAUCAGCUUGUUGGUGGGGUAGUGGCUUACCAAGGCUUUGACGGGUAGCCGGCCUGAGAGGGUGACCGGCCACAUUGGGACUGAGAUACGGACCAGACUCCUACGGUAGGCAGCAGUGGGGAAUAUUGCACAAUGGGCGGAAGCCUGAUGCAGCAACGCCGCGUGCGGGAUGACGGCCUUCGGGGUGUAAACCGCUUUCGCCUGUGACGAAGCGUGAGUGACGGUAAUGGGUAAAGAAGCACCGGCUAACUACGUG
rnacentral:rRNA from 1 species